CCGAGUUUACAACUCCCAAACCCCUGUGAACAUACCUAUUUGUUGCCUCGGCGGUGCCUGUUCCGACAGCCCGCCAGAGGACCCCAAACCCUGAUUACAUUUAAGAAGUCUUCAGAGUAAACCGAUUAAAUAAAUCA
rnacentral:misc_RNA from 1 species